CGCGAGGUCUUGAUCGCCCGGCUUUUGCAGGGAAAGGAGUGGGGCGAACAUGGCUGAAGGCAGCCGGGGCGGCCCAACGUGCCGCGGGAUGGACGGCAGGCAGGACCCGGUCUCCAGCAGUGGGAGCUGCAACUUUCCAGAGUACGAGCUUCCCGAGCUAAACACGCGCGCUUUCCAUGUGGGCGCUUUCGGGGAGCUGUGGCGUGGCCGGUUGCGCCGGGAAGGGGACUUGUCGCUGAAGGAGCCACAGGCAGCCGCGUUGCCUGGGAGCCAAGGGGUCGCCGACUGGGGCCAGGAAGAUGCUGCGGUGGCCCGGGACCUGGGCUGCAGCCUGGAGGCAGCAACCGAACUGCGGACGGUGUGCGGCCUUGAUAAACUCAAGUGCCUUGAGGAGGGUGAGGAUCCAGAUGUCGUCCCAGAGAAUACCGACCUAGUGACUUUGGGGGUUAGAAAGAAACUUCUGGAACAGCGGGAAGAAACCAUAACAAUAGAUCGGGUUUGCAGACAAGAAACAUUUGCUUAUGAGAUGGAGUCACAUGCCAUAGGAAAAAAGCCUGAAAAUCCAGCAGACAUGAUUGAAGAAGGGGAGCUUAUCCUAUCUGUGAAUAUCUUAUACCCUAUUAUAUUUCAUAAGCACAAAGAACACAAACCAUACCAGACGAUGCUGGUGUUGGGCAGUCAGAAGCUCACGGAACUGAGAGAUUCAAUUUGCUGUGUCAGUGACCUCCAGAUUGGUGGGGAAUUCAGCAACACUCCUGAUCAAGCUCCUGAGCACAUAAGCAAAGACCUGUACAAAUCAGCCUUCUUUUAUUUUGAAGGGACAUUUUACAAUGAUAAAAGAUACCCCGAGUGCAGAGAUUUGAGCAGAACUAUCAUUGAAUGGUCAGAGUCCCAUGACAGAGGCUAUGGAAAAUUUCAGACCGCUAAAAUGGAAGAUUUCACCUUCAACGACCUGUAUAUUAAACUGGGUUUUCCUUACUUAUAUUGUCACCAGGGAGACUGUGAGCACGUUGUUGUCAUUACUGACAUAAGGCUUGCACAUUGUGAUGACUGCUUGGAUAGGACACUUUAUCCCCUUCUUAUCAAGAAGCAUUGGCUGUGGACCAGAAAAUGUUUUGUUUGUAAAAUGUACACAGCCAGAUGGGUGACAAACAAUGACAGUUUUGCACCAGAGGACCCAUGUUUCUUUUGUGAUGUUUGCUUUCGGAUGCUCCACUAUGAUUCAGAAGGCAACAAACUAGGAGAAUUCCUUGCUUAUCCUUAUGUUGAUCCUGGAACCUUUAACUAAUAAUAACAAAAAAUGUACUUUGUGAAGUAACUGUCCUCUUGGAUGGUUACUUUAUUUCCAGAACAUGCCACUGAGGAACAGGAUCCACCUGAAAUAAUCAGCUAGUUACCCACACCCCUGCAAAAGUUCACAUCACAGGUUUUCUUUUUUUUUUAAAUCACAGGUUUUCUUAUAAAGUAACUUGUGUUUAGAAAUCUUUUAGUAUUUAUUUCAAAAUAGGGUUUUUAUUUAGUGUAUUUGCCCAUUUUUAAGUGUGUUUAUCAUACUAAGUUGUAGGAGUACUUUAUAUUUUUUUGAAUACAAAUCCUGUCAGAUUCAAGUAUUCUGGUUUUUAGCCAGUCUGUGGCUUGUCUAAUCAUUCUGUGUCCAGAGUACUUUUUGCUAAUCUAUAGUUAGAAAAAUUCAGUUAAUCAUACAUCAAGUGGUGGAAGUAUUUUGAAAAUUCCUUGAAGAAUGUGAGAGCUAUACCUUGUACCAUGAGGCUUCCAAGGUUAUUUAUUUAAAUUCAACUGAGUUCCACAUUCCCUGGAUGGCUAAGAACAGAGAUUUACCAUACAAAUCAAAAACUGAUGAAGCCUUUAAGCCUGUAUGUUUAAAAGAUUGGCAGUGAAAUGUUUUAUGGACUUAGAUGACAUAUCCAGUUAAGUUGAUUGGUGUGCUGAGGACAAGCACCUGUUUCUGAGAGCGAGAGAGCGAGAGAGCGAGUGAGCGUGUGGGGAGAAGGGCAGAGGGAGAGAAUCCCAAGCAGACUCUGAUUCCAACACAGAAUGCAAUCCCAUGACCCUGAGAUCAUGACCUGAGCCCAAAUCAAGAGUUGGACACUCAACUGACGGAGCCACCCAGGCACCCCGCUUCCUUUAUUUUUAAACUGUAUUCCUUGUAGGUCUUGCAUUAGUAUGCAAGGGUCUGUUCUUUUUUUCUCUCCAAAUUACUUAAAUUCUACUUAGUUAAUAUAUAGUGUAAUAUGUUUAGGUGUUUACUUUGAUUCAUUUUCAUUUCAUAUUCUCAAAACAGCAAAUUCCAAAACAUGCACUGUACUGUCCUAACAAAAGCAUUAGUCCACAUGUGAUCAAUUCAUUUUAGUGGACAAAGAAGACUGUCAAUUAAAACAUUACUGCUAGUGAAAUUUUUUUUUUUUUUAAUUUAAAGAUUUGAUUUGUCAGCACGCACAAGCAGGGGGAACGGCAGGAACAGGGAGAAGCACAAGCUCCCCGCUGAGCGAGGAGCCCGCUGAGCAAGGAGCCCGAUGCGGGACUUGAUCUCAGGGCCCUGGGAUCAUGAUCUAAGCCAAAGGCAGACGCUUAACCGACUGAGCCACCCAGGCGUCCCUUAUUUUAUCAUUUAUUAAGAAUCUCAUCCUUCUGGUUCUUGAGGGUAACUUUUCCAGCAAAGUUAACACAAAGACAUUUGAGCCUUUGUGUUAUCAGUUCCUCUUGUGAAAUCUAGAGGAAGACUGACCAACCUAGCCACUCCCAGAAAUUUUGCCCAUGUUUAUCAGUUAUACAGGUGUCCCACCAAAUUCAGGUCAAAAGACCUUCCAAGUUUAAAACAGGCCUAAAAGAGGUCUUGAAUUAAGUAUUUUAUAGCUAUAAAUUUUGAUAUUAAACAUGACCUAAAUUAUAUAUGUCAUUUUACUAAUGAAGAAAAGCAAAUAUGGUAAUGAACUUAUAAAUCAGCAUCCUCUGUAGUUAGAAAUGAGAUUUUGAUAUAAUAAUGGAUGAACAUGCACAAAAAGCACUAUUUAGAAAAGCAAUACCUGUUUCUUUAGAUAUCUUUUUCAGCCUUUGGUAUCCUGGUAAGGAUAAUUUUACCUUCUCCUAAUCAAAUCAUAAUGUCUUUAUUAUCUCUAAGGUUAGAGAAUUCCAUAGCACAAAUACGAAAACAUUUCUACCUAUAUAGCAACUUCAUUUCUUAAGGUUUGUAAUUAUGGGUUUGCUAUUUCCAAUAGAUCAUCCUUUCUCUGACCAAUGGGACAAAAUAAGGUGUUUGUUAGUGAAGCCCUCACAGAGCCUUGUAAGCCUUUGCUUUUAUAUAGGAUUAGUGGGCAGACCUCCUCCUGACCGGACAUCUUCAAUCAGGUAAGUGUGUGUCAGUACAUACAGUGUAUCAGCAAAAACUGGGUAAAAAAGAUCAUCCUAUUUGAAACUGCAGCAUGUAAUAGAAGGUUUAAUUAAGAUCAUCAAGUUGUUGAUACAGUUUCUCCAGUUCAGAUGACACCUCUGCAAUCUCCAGAGCAGCUGAGAAAGCUUCCAGCAAUUCAUUCUGCAGGGCCGUCCAUAGCUUACUCUUAAAUGUUGGCCAGUAGGUUUAAAUAGCACAAAAUAGGUGGUUUAUACAUGCCCCCCGCAAAGAGAAGAAAAUAUCUUCUCUUUUGCUAUUUCGUUUAAAUUAUCUUAGUGACUUGUUCAGCAGUGGAGUUUUGAUCAAAUACGCAAUUAAAAUGGAGCAAAUGCUCCUGAAAGUUUAGUAUUUAUGACUUAAGAGUUCGGAGAGUGGUAGUCACCUGUGAAUCAGCUUAUGACCCAACAGAAAAUGGAAGGGCAGUUAUAUUUUCACACUGUAUUAAUCAACUGUUUUGAGCAAGGCCAGCCCAAAAAAAACAUACAUAAAUUAUCAGAAUGCUGCUAUAUGUAUCUCCUGAAGUUGAAUAUUCUGUGGUUUCCUAGUAAACUAUAUUGCUGUGUUGCUGGGUUAUAGAAUAAAAUAACAAACAUUUUUAGCUUACUAUAUUUAGUUACCCUAUCUAUCUCCCCAGACAACACAAUCUCUGUAAUACCAAGCUAACCAAGAAAUUACUCCCUUGGAAGCAAAUCCAGAAUUCCAAAACCACUUUUGUAAAUAGCAAAUAAUUAAUUUACUAGUAGAGUUUGAUAGAAAAAUCCUUUAAUCAAAACAAGUUUACAAUGUUGACACUUAUGGCUUAACUAGAUUAAGUCUGUCCAAAUUUAAAUUGUAUUAAGGACCAGAUAAAAUGUAGUAUCAAUAGUUCCCUCAAAACAGUAGGUCCCAGUUCCAUUGUAAGACCUCUCAAAAAGCAAAACUCCAAUUACUGAAAUAAUUCAAACUAUUCAUUUAUAGAUGAAAACCAUUAUCUGAGAGGUCAGAACAUACAAUGCAUGUCACAUGCAAACACUGGUAUUAAGCCUCUUCUCCGUAUUCAUAUUUUCAAAACAUGAGAAGUCUUUUAGCUACUGAAACCACCAACUGACCUAAUAAUCAAAAUAUCUUAAAAAUGCUAUCUGUUAAGUUACCCUUAAAUUUUGUUAACCUUGGUUUACCCUGAUUUAGUCCAUAUAUAUGAAUAUACAGACUACCAAAGUACUCCUUUACUUUAACUGCCUCGGAGCAACAUAUAUUUUCUACUUACAAUUCUGUCACAUGGAGGAUCUCUAAGAAUCCCCUUCUGAUAGAGCCAUGUUUUCAAAUAGGUUAGUUUUUCUUAUAUAGCAUUUACUUCUACUAUUUACUGCAUAAGAAUCAUGGAAUUUUUUUUCCCAAUUAAAAAAAUACUUAGUGACUUCCUUAAUGAGUGUGACUUUUUAAAAAUUCAGAAACGUGAGACAGUUCUCAAAAAUAAACUUUUAUCAUUUUUUAGUUUCAGCUAUUAGUGCCUGUAAAGGAUCUCAGAUGGCUGAACCCUAAAGCCAGAUUCAUUCCUAAACAUACCCCCUUCUCCUUGCUGUAGAAGUCACGUGACCUCACUGACUUCCCAGCCAUAAAACUAAGUUACCUUCAAAAGUUAGCAUGAGUUUUGUACCUUGUAGAAUUGUCAGUUGGAUAUCUCUAGUUGUCAUACAAAAGGCAAACAGACCACAAAUUGUUUGUUACAAAGCAGCAGGAUGAUGUAGCACAAUGUAGACUGUGAAAUUAAAAUUAACUUUUGAUAAAAGGAGUGAGUACUUGUAUAGAAGUAACAUUUUAUCUACCAUAAAAAUGCGUAACUUCUACAAAACCCACAAACAGUGAAAAGACAGUCUGGUAAAUCCAAGGUUUGUAAAAACUAUGCACAAAACCCACAGUAUUUGGGAAAAGAGGAAAGGUUUAUACAAGUAGCAGUUUUAAAAAUGUAACUUUUUUCUACUAUUACACAUUAACAUACACACACUAAUUGAAAUUAUGCUACAACCAAAUGUCUGGAAAAGCAGUUUAACAUUUCCUAAAUGGGUUUUCCCUCACAUUUACUGAAUAGUGUAGCUGUUAAUACUGCACAAGUACAAUUAGCAAUAAUGUUUAAUGACUUUUAAACAAAUAUAAAGGGAUUUUUCUCCCUCAAAACAAGUUUUCAACAUCAAAACCUAUGCUUAUAAAAAUUUAAAACUUUCAGCAGUCUAAAUAUUUCAAAUGAAAACCAUUACAAACUCUUCAAAUGUUCUUUAUAUUCCAGGUAUGUCAACCUAAUUAUCUAGUGUAGAAUCCUUCAGAGAUAUUUCAGGCUCUCUCUCUUCACUGGAUGGCCUAAAGGAAGGAAAGAAAGGUGUGUCAAGUGGGAUUAGGGGCUUUUCUCCUUCAUGGGGGUCAGAGAACACAUUAAAUCCGUGCAUUGUUUUUAUUUUUAAAAUAAUUUGAUGAUCAUCAAGUUAUUUUAAAAAAUCUUGACUUUUUGUUCAAAAUUUAAUUUUCCGUGUUGUAUCUUCUUCCUAAAGUAAUAUUCAGAUCAAGCAAAUUAACUCAGGGAAGCAUCAUGGCUCAGGCCCUUUCCAUCAUUUCCAGCUUUAAAUAAAAAACAUGAAAAGGUUAUAUCUGUGAUACCAACAUAUUACAAACCUUAAUAAGGAGAGGGUCGAUGACAUAGACACAGAUAAGAUUUCCCUGAAUUUCAGAAUUAGAAGGGAUGCUUGAUUCCAAGUCCUUCAAACGUGCAGAACAAACCAAGACUAGGAUAACUACAGUCCAAUAACUAGUUAUUUAGAGGCUAUAUACAAAACAGCCUGUGAUUCUAGAUCUUAUUUUUGUAUUACCCAGUCACAAUGCAAGAAAGUAUGAAUGAUAUCACUAUUAAAGCUGUUAUCAGUGAAAGAAGUCCAAAGAUGAAUAGUUACUUUAAACUGGAUUCCUACUAUCUAGCUCUAUUCCCUUUGAGUACAGGCAAGUUAAAUGUAAAUUAUAAAGUUUUUUGCUUUUUGCCGUUUUGAUUUGUAUCUUGCUUCCUGAGUUCAGGAAUUGAGUGAUCAAAAUACAAUCCUAUAUAAAUAACCUUGGAACAGCAAUGUGACUUAAAAAUUAAAAAUAUACAUGACCCAUUAAAACACGUCCUCACUUUUUCUUACUGCUGGCCUCGUGGUUGUCUUUGCUUUCUUCACUGCUGUCUCCAUUAUGUUGUGGUUGAUUACUGUCUUGAGCAUCGGAGCCUCCAUUUAGAGUCUUUGAACCUUUAAAAAGGUUCCAAUGGAAAAACUGUUAGAGCUUCUAGUACUUUAAGAUGUCCUCUAAAGAGCCAAAAUAAAAAAUAAAACCUGGCCCUAAAGUUUCUAAUACUUAAUACACCUUAUUUGAAAUUACACUGUAAUCUUUUGGGUAGCUGAGGCACACUAAAUAGCAGGGUUACUAUAUAUGGGUACAAGAAAGGGGGGCUUUUUAAAGAUUUCAUUUAUUUUAGACAGUAUGUGUGUACAAGCGGGGGGGGGGGGGCCAAAGGAGAAGAGAGGAUCUCAAGUAGACACCGUGCUCCAUCUCACAAUCUUGAGAUCAUGACCUGAGCCGAAAUCAACAGUUGGACAUUCAACCAAGCCACCCAGGCGCCAAAAGCGGGGGUGGGGGGGCCCUUUUAAUCUGGUCAUUCCCUUUCUUAUAAAAUUUUACUAUGAUGCACAUUUUUAUAUCUUUCCUUGGUAUUUUACAACGAGGUGUCAAAAGUACGAUUCUUAACACGAUUUUGUGUCCUACCUAAGUAAAUAAGGAGGGCAUCCCUGUAAAUCCUAUUUCUAAGAAAUCUCUAAGGAGACCUAGAUCAUCAUUCCCUAAUAAAUAAAAUCUCCAACUCCUAAAGACAUUUGAUAAAUUGGAAUUGGGGGAGCCGAUAAUGAAUGACACUAUGUUCUAUUUAAGAAUCCAUCACAGAUACAUCCUAACAUAUUUGUGGUUGAAAUAGCGUAUCUGGAAUUUGCUUCACAGAGAAACCUGGUAAGGGUAAAAAAGAGCAACGAUCAUUUACUGAUAAAUGCAGGAGCUGAGUGAUGGGAACACGGGAAGUUCCUUUCUUGUCUACUAUUGUCAGAAAUUAUUCCUACUUUAAGUGAAAAGAGAACAGCAACUGCUAAUUUAAGCUUGAUUAUAACUGAUUUAAACAGAAAUGCUCAACCUUAGCUUCUGUUUUUCUAAGUGCUUUAUGAAACCUUAGAUAAGGUAUUAAUGAAAUUAUACAUCAAAGCCAUUUUUUAAAAGCAGUCCCAGCAAACAACUUAUCAUCACAUACCUGUUUGUUCCUUUUCUAGCUUUUUGUUUGGCCCUUUCUUCCCUUGAUCUUUGGUUUUAUUUGCUUCCUCAUGCUGUCUUUGUUCGGCAAGAGAUUUAUUCAGCACUUGUGUGAUCACAGAAUCUCCUUCACCAACCAAAAACAUAUUCUUAAACUUGUUAUACAGCAUUGUAGACUUUUCCAUGAUAACCUGGCUAACUUUGAAUCGCCGUAUCUGAGAAAACAAAAUAGACACUCACAAUUGUUUUCUUCACUGAUUUGUAAAAUGGUACUUCUCAAUGAACUGUUGAUGAGGAAAUUUUCACACUCUGCACGACUCUGGAUCACUUACUUUUUUCAGUGUUGUAAUCAUUUCUGUGUGCUUCUGAGCUUGCUGCAUUGUGACCUGAAGUGAAGCAAGUUCAUCCAAGGCCUCAAUACAUCUGUUCACAUCCUUCAUGACAAGACAGUAAUUUCAUAGCUGUUAAUCACCACACCCUAUAUGAUCUAGUCCUAAAGUUUACUUUUAAAAUCUCAAAACAAGGCAGUACAAAAGAACCAGUAGUAGUCGCAUUUUUCUUAAAUUUACACAUACUUAUAAAACAUGAGAAAAAAUAUGAAGCUAUAAAAGGAGUACUAUAUUUUUAAAUGAGGUAUUUAUAAAGACUUACAAGAUUAUCAAUUUUGAGUGAAUUUUUAAUUUCAGCAUGUAUCCUUUGAAGUCGAGAAUCCAUUGAUGUUUCUAUAAAUUAAAAUUUAAAACACAGUAAAUAAUUUUUCCAAAACCAGUAUUUCUAUAUAAAUCUAAUAGGCAAAGCACAAUGACAAGAUUUGAAUUUUUAAAAAUGUUCUUCAUAAUCUGCCUAGUUCACCAAGAAGUUAUUUGCCAUUUUAAGUAUUUAGGAAAACAACAUUCAUCAUUUGAAGAAAAAAAUCACCAUCUAGCUACAUAAGUUUCUAAAAUAAGCAGUCUGUAUCCAGUUAAUAAACCCCUCUAUUCCAAUCCUUAAACAGCUGUUUUACCUUACUUACACAUGUGACCAGAAAUAGAAACUCUUAUCUGAAACCAUGAGAUUUGUCAAAAAUGGGAAAAUAUCUAGCUUUUGGCAAUGUUACAAAAAUGUGACCAUUAGAUAAUGAGCAAUAAAACUAGCCUGAGUCCUUAGCAAAUGCACCUAAUCAAAAUAUAAUGUAUACAGAAUUCAUCAGGGAUUUGAAAAAGCACUUUUGUAGGAUUUAAGAACAUAAAAUGACUGAUUUUAAAACCUAUACAUGAAAAAUUAAGGAUAUAAUUUCCUAUUAAUUUAAACAUCUUAGAAAGUGAAAUAACUAACCUCGCUUCUUCUCCACUUUCUUAACUUCUGGCUUCUUUCCUUCAUCUUUAUUCUGCCUAUCAAAUGUUAACACAAAUAUUUCAAAACAUUGGAACUUUGUGACUGAUUACCAAAUGCCCACAAUCCCUUAGGUAAAAGCUAAAAAUUUUUUUAAGAUAGAAAAUCAAUAGCCUAGGUCAUAAGGAAUUGACUAUAAUUCAUAGAACUCUGGGAUGCCACAGCAUUAGUAUUAAUUACUAAAACACAUGUAAAAAUUAACAUGCUAAAAUCUAACUUUUCAGUGGCAUCACAAAUAAUUUUAACACUUGUCAUGGUGAAAUUUUUUUCCAACAGUACAAAGUGUUAAAGACCCAAUUUCAGGGUCAGUGGACAAGCAGACCACAGUGGGAAAGAGAAUGCCUAUAAACAUUUCAUGAGUUCUACAUCACAAUUAUUUUUAGAAGUAGCGUGUCAAAAACACUAAUUUUUCCCACAUCUCCAAAAGGGUAGAUAAUUGGAGGGGUUAAGUUUCUAGGUUAAACAGACUGUUCAAAGAUGAUACUAUUGUAUUAAAAUGGCUUUUUUUGGCUAAUAUAUCAAACUUAAAUGACAUUCACUGACAUUUACAUACCAUUUCACAAAAGAAAAGGUAGCAUUUUACUGCAAAUCACAAAAAUAACCAUUUAAAAAUGAGUUCUUAAUUUCUAGUACCUUGGCUUUGAGUUCGGGCCCUAUUAUAAACCAAUUGAAAUAGACAAGAACAAAACAAUAUCUAAAAAUCAGGUUGUUUUUUUUUAAAAAAACUUUAUUUUAAAAUUUUGGUUACAGUUUCAUUUUUGUUUUCUUAACAAGUCUACUGUUUAAUCUCUCAAGAUUAAAAAAAACAAUUAUUAAGAGUCUAAAGAAUUAAACAACAAAGGAAUGUCAAGGGAAGGGCACAACUGCCCCAUUCUCUGGGGUAUAAGAGCUAUUCCAGUUUAACACCUAGCUUCAAAACAAAAUGAAUUUUUAUAUUUUCUAAAUGAAAUAAUGUACAACCACCAUCUUCUAACUUUCAAACACAAAGCUUCAUCUUAAGCUUGGUAAAAAAAAACUUUAACAGGAAUGAUGGCCGACCUUGGUAUGUAGUGUGUACCUUACAGGAAUUUUUUUUUUUUUUUUUAACAAUCAUAACACAGUAAUAAUGCCAUUAAUGAAGUCCUCAAUUUAGAAUCUGCAACAUUCUUCCAUCAAGGGGGGGGAGGGGGAAAUUCAGUCCAAUGAGUCUGUCUCAAGAUCUUCAUCUCUUGUUUGCUCCACUUGUAUUCUCUUUUCAGUAACUGGAUUAAUGCUUUGAGCCCAAAAUGAGAUAUAUUUUUUAUUACUGUAGAUUACAUGUUGUUUGGCUGGGAAUACAAUACAAUAAACUUUAUUUUGCAUAAUGCAUUUCACACAAGCUGCAUCUGAAAUGCUUUACAGAGCAAAACUGUCCAAGUACAAAGUUUUGUAAUAACAGGAGAAGGAAAGAAAACACAAAUAUUAGAAUUUGAGAAAGUUACAUUCGGAGGACAUUCAAAAAGAAACUGAAACACAAAGGUAACUUUGAGAUACUGAAGAAGGGUUGGGGCUAGAUUUACUAAGCAAUGACUAAUUUUAUAUCCUAAUUUGGGGAGCACAAUAAAGUUAAAAGCAACAAACAGUCCAACAACUUUUCAGUGAAAGGAUAGGAAAGGAUAGGUAACAAAAAAUAACUUUAAUUUACAGAAAUGGUCAAAAGUCUAACAGAAUAGAGGGAGUAACAUUUUUGAGCUUUAGAUCAAUUUUUAAAUUACUCCCCUCAAGCAGAUGAAACUGCUUAUAUAAUCCUCCUCCAAACAACUAAGAAAGCAGAAUAGUCAAAUGCUAUACUUGUAGAGAGACUUUUGGCUUACAAAUGUAUUUUAUAAAGAAAAAGUACAAAAUUACUUAACGAAUUCACUACUUAUCAUUAAGUUUGUCUUAGUGACCUACAGCAUGUGUUUAAAAUCACCUCCAUUAACAAAAAAAAAAACACCACCACCAAGUUUAGUCAGAAUAAUGCAAGA